AGUGAACGCUGGCGGUAGGCCUAACACAUGCAAGUCGAACGGCAGCACAGUAAGAGCUUGCUCUUACGGGUGGCGAGUGGCGGACGGGUGAGGAAUACAUCGGAAUCUACUUUUUCGUGGGGGAUAACGUAGGGAAACUUACGCUAAUACCGCAUACGACCUACGGGUGAAAGCAGGGGAUCUUCGGACCUUGCGCGAUUGAAUGAGCCGAUGUCGGAUUAGCUAGUUGGCGGGGUAAAGGCCCACCAAGGCGACGAUCCGUAGCUGGUCUGAGAGGAUGCUCAGCCACACUGGAACUGACACACGGUCCAGACUCCUACGCGAGGCAGCAGUGGCGAAUAUUGGACGAUGGGCGCAAGCCUGAUCCAGCCAUCCCGCGUGGGUUAAGAAGGCCUUCGGGUUGUAAAGCCCUUUUGUUAGGAAAGAAAAGCAGCAGGUUAAUACCCCGCUGUUCUGACGGUACCCAAAGAAUAAGCACCGGCUAACUUCGUG
rnacentral:rRNA from 1 species